rnacentral:rRNA from 1 species
AAUUUUUUGCGGAGAGUUUGAUCCUGGCUCAGGAUGAACGCUGGCGGCGUGCCUAAUACAUGCAAGUCGAACGAGGUGCUUUUGUAGCAAUACGAGAGUAUCCUAGUGGCGAACGGGUGAG